GUGGGGAAUAUUGCACAAUGGGGGAAACCCUGAUGCAGCGACGCCGCGUGAGUGAAGAAGUAUUUCGGUAUGUAAAGCUCUGUCAGCAGGGAAGAAAAUGACGGUACCUGACCAAGAAGCCCCGGCUAACUACGUGCCAGCAGCCGCGGUAAUACGUAGGGGGCAAGCGUUAUCCGGAUUUACUGGGUGUAAAGGGAGCGUAGACGGCAUUGCAAGUCUGAAGUGAAAGCCCGGGGCCCAACCCCGGGACUGCUUUGGAAACUGCAGAGCUGGAGUGCAGGAGAGGUAAGUGGAAUUCCUAGUGUAGCGGUGAAAUGCGUAGAUAUUAGGAGGAACACCAGUGGCGAAGGCGGCUUACUGGACUGUAACUGACGUUGAGGCUCGAAAGCGUGGGGAGCAAACAGGA
rnacentral:rRNA from 1 species